ensembl:lncRNA
GCCUCCCUCGCCGCUCCGAGCCAAUGAGAGCGCGCACCGCGCGGUAGGCUGAGAUGGCGCUAUAGAACGUUUGUCCAAUGAUUUAUUAUUAUUUUGUCAACAUGUAUGUCUGCACUACGAAAGAGGACACUGGAUCCCAUGAAGCUGCAGUAAUAGACAGUGGUGUCCCUCCCUGAUGAUUGCAUGCCAAGAUGAUCUGGUCUUCCCAUCCGUUGUUGUUUUCAGGUGCACUAUGUCUUUGGACCAUCUCCAUGAGUAAGGAAUGAGGACGCUGGGAAUAUAGUGAAGACCAAGAGACUUCCCGGACACUUGAGACUUGGAAGUUCAGUUUUGAAAAGUUUUCUUCAGCUAGAAGCUCCAGAAGCCCAGAAGGUACAAGAUUGAGGGGAUACAUCUGGUGAGAGUCUCUUGCUGUGCUCUAACAGGGCAGCUGGUGUAGCUUGGUGGACAAGCAAGAGCAGAGAGUAGGCAUACAUACUAGAGAUGCAAAAGGAACCAUGCAUUUUCUGCUCGUUCUUUCAUUCUUUCGUUCGUUCACUCAUUCAUUCACCCAUUCAUUCAAGGGAGCCAUGCAUGCACACUUAUUUUUGUGUUUAUGUAUUUGGUUAUUUGAGAUGGGUUUUCUUUGUGUAUCCCUG